rnacentral:lncRNA from 1 species
GAUUCUUUAGUCAUCUUGGGAAUAUGUUGAUCGCAGUCUUUCAAUUCAUCAACACCAGUAAGGGACUUCACCAUCUCAGUUUCUUGCCUCUGUGGACAUUUAUUCGACUCUGGUACAUAAAAUUUUGCUCUUAACUUGUCAUGGCAAAUCCACUCCUGGCUACUAUUUGAUCUGUCCGAAAUCUUUAUUGCAGUAUUAAUAAUGCGGUGGGCACGGCACUGAGUUCCACUUUUAUAACUGUCUGCAUUUGUCCAGUGAGUUGAAAAAUCUAAGGAAACAUGAGAACA